GCGAGGAGGGCGCAUAUGUGCAAAGCACAUAUUUAGGAUGCGCCCGACAAUAUACCACAGAGCGAUAGCGAUGUGGUGAUACCCGGG
rnacentral:sRNA from 2 species